rnacentral:lncRNA from 10 species
GACAGCCAAGAUGGCCCUGAGCGGGGCCCACUGCGGCGGCGGGGCCGAGGGGCGCCGGCCGGGGCCGCUGUCUUCGCCGCCUACCUGAGCGGCGUCAGGGACCAGGGGGCAGGCCCGACGCCCCUCCCGCUCCGCCGCAGCCCCGAGCCGGCGCGUUCCCGGAAACGGGGGCCGGGCGGGCGCCAGGUAUGUGAAGGAAAGCUAAGAUAAUUCAGUGGAUUCUUCACUGGGAAAAAGGCCAGAUUCCAGUUUAUAAACGGAGGCUUGCUGUUGCCAGGCUGGAAUGCAAUGACACGAUCUCAGCUCACUACAACCUCUGCCUCCCGGGUUCAAGCUAUUCUCCUGCCUCAGCCUCCUGAGUAGCUGGGACUACAGGCGCACACCACCACGCCCAGGUUAUUGGGGAACAUGGCAGCUUUUUUUGAAUACCCUCCUCUUUGCCAGUUGCCCAAGGUGGAACAC